rnacentral:rRNA from 1 species
GUAGUCCACGCCGUAAACGAUGAAUACUAGGUGUAGGGGUUGUCAUGACCUCUGUGCCGCCGCUAACGCAUUAAGUAUUCCGCCUGGGGAGUACGGUCGCAAGAUUAAAACUCAAAGGAAUUGACGGGGACCCGCACAAGUAGCGGAGCAUGUGGUUUAAUUCGAAGCAACGCGAAGAACCUUACCUAAGCUUGACAUCCUUUUGACCUCUCCCUAAUCGGAGAUUUCCCUUCGGGGACAGAAGUGACAGGUGGUGCAUGGUUGUCGUCAGCUCGUGUCGUGAGAUGUUGGGUUAAGUCCCGCAACGAGCGCAACCCUUGCCUUUAGUUGCCAGCAUUAAGUUGGGCACUCUAGAGGGACUGCCAGGGAUAACCUGGAGGAAGGUGGGGAUGGCGUCAAAUCAUCAUGCCCCUUAUGCUUAGGGCUACACACGUGCUACAAUGGAUGGUACAGAGGGCAGCCAAGUCGUGAGGCGGAGCUAAUCCCUUAAAGCCAUUCUCAGUUCGGAUUGUAGGCUGAAACUCGCCUACAUGAAGCUGGAGUUACUAGUAAUCGCAGAUCAGAAUGCUGCGGUGAAUGCGUUCCCGGGUCUUGUACACACCGCCCGUCACACCACGGAAGUUGGGGGCGCCCGAAGCCGGAUUGCUAACCUUUUGGAGGCGUCCGUCGAAGGUGAAAUCAAUAACUGGGGUG